rnacentral:rRNA from 1 species
CUGCGGAAGGAUCAUUAUUGAAAUAAACCUGAUGAGUUGCUGCUGGUUCUCUAGGGAGCAUGUGCACACUUGUCAUCUUUAUAUCUCCACCUGUGCACCUUUUGUAGACCUGGAUAUCUCUCUGAAUGAAUAGCCAUUCAGGUUUGAGGAUUGACUUUAUGUCUCUCCUUACAUUUCCAGGCCUAUGUUUCUUCAUAUACCCCAAUGUAUGUUAUAGAAUGUAAUCAAUGGGCCUUUGUGCCUAUAAACCUAUACAACUUUCAGCAACGGAUCUCUUGGCUCUCGCAUCGAUGAAGAACGCAGCGAAAUGCGAUAAGUAAUGUGAAUUGCAGAAUUCAGUGAAUCAUCGAAUCUUUGAACGCACCUUGCGCUCCUUGGUAUUCCGAGGAGCAUGCCUGUUUGAGUGUCAUUAAUAUAUCAACCUCCUCAGCUUUUGCUUGUUGAGUGUUGGAUGUGGGGGGUUAUUUUGCUGGCCUUCUCAGGUCAGCUCCCCUAAAAUGUAUUAGCGGAACAAUCUGUGGACCGUUCAUUGGUGUGAUAACUAUCUACGCUAUUGACGUUAAACAGUUCAGCUUCUAACAGUCCAUUGACUUGGACAAAUUUUCAUUAAUGUGACCUCAAAUCAGGUAGGACUACCCGCUGAACUUAAGCAUAUCAAUAA